CCUACGGGUGGCUGCAGUGGGGAAUAUUGGACAAUGGGCGAAAGCCUGAUCCAGCCAUGCCGCGUGUGUGAAGAAGGCCUUCGGGUUGUAAAGCACUUUCAGUGGGGAAGAAAGCCUUGGGGCUAAUACCCUCGAGGAAGGACAUCACCCACAGAAGAAGCACCGGCUAACUCCGUGCCAGCAGCCGCGGUAAUACGGAGGGUGCGAGCGUUAAUCGGAAUUACUGGGCGUAAAGCGCGCGUAGGCGGUCUGAUAAGCCGGUUGUGAAAGCCCCGGGCUCAACCUGGGAACGGCAUCCGGAACUGUCAGGCUAGAGUGCAGGAGAGGAAGGUAGAAUUUCCGGUGUAGCGGUGAAAUGCGUAGAGAUCGGGAGGAAUACCAGUGGCGAAGGCGGCCUUCUGGACUGACACUGACGCUGAGGUGCGAAAGCGUGGGUAGCAAACAGGAUUAGAUACCCGGUAGUC
rnacentral:rRNA from 1 species